CUGGAAGUCUCCGAGGGGGGUUUGCCAGUACUGGACCACACCUGCACAGGAAAGGAGGAGCGGUUACAGCGGCAGGUGAAUGCUGCCGAGUUCAAAGUCAGCGCUGCCUCCGGAUGACCUUUGACCCUGCGGGUUGGUGCGACAGUCAGAGUGCCACGGCCAAUAGCUGCUCUUUCUGGAUGAGCUGAGGCGGCCAGAAAGGCCGUGAGAGUCAACCACCCAGUUAACAUUUUGAACCUGCACAGGAAAUUAGAGUCAGGUGUGUUUGUCGUGCUCACGUGCUGUAAAUGACAGUUGGAGUUAUAGCCAACACCUUUUCACCUUCAGUUCAAUUUCGAGGUACUUUCUUGAGUAGUUCUAUUUUAUACUACUUUAUGCUUCUACUCCACUACAUCUCAAAGGCACAUAUUGUAUUUUUGGCUCCUCUACAGAUAGGUUUAUUUACUUUACAGAUUCAUAUUGAUACAGAAAUAUAAAUAAAGAAAUAUAUUACGAUAGAUAUCAAGAACUUAAAAUAAGCUGCUGCAAAAUGACACGCUGCCACGGGGAGAACAUGCAAACUCCACACAGAAGGACUGCCCAGACUGGGAAUUGGACCCAUGGCCCUUCAGCUGUGAGGUGACAGCGCUAGCCACUACACCACCGUGCAGCCUAAUAAUAUAUAGUAUUCUUAAAUCUACAAAUAGUAUAAUGGGUACUUACAGGCAGAAGGAGCAGGAUUUGUCCUUUUGUAAACACAACAUUCAAAGGGGCCGCCGUGAGCCAGAGCUUCUGCGUGAAGUCGCUGUUAAUAACUUAGCGUUUCUUGUCGCACAGUAAUUUCUGUCAAUAACAGAGGCCUGAAAGUAAAGGAAACAUUUACUCUGAAGAUGUCUAAAGAAAGAACCCACGUGAUGCAUUUAGUGAGUGGUCAACUCUGUUGCAUGCAGCGCCCGGCUAGCGGCACAAUAAAGUGUCAUUUUUUGACCCCCUCAGGCUUCUGGCCUUGUUGUGUUCUUUUUUGGAGGACCCUGUUGUGGAGGUGAAAUGCUGCCCCCGAUCUGUUUGAGCCGGUGGCGAGAGAUUACACAUUGCAGCUUUAAGUAGAAUAGCGGACAAGGUUACCAUAAGGUGCUGUAACUGUGAGAGGGGAUUCAAUCAUUUUAAAGAGACAUUUUACAUUAAAAUUCAAUACAAAAAUGUCAAUACAAAUGUUACUGAAUCUAAAUCAGAGAAGUCACUCGAGGAGUAGAAUUACUUCACAGAUCAUGGAUUAAGCUCUGAAGUCUUACUGUUAAAAGUAUGAGGGAAUGAGUUCUCACGAGUCUGUGGUAUUUACCUGUGACGGACAGCUUGUGUGAAUUCCUCUAGUUUCAGCCGUGCGGUUCCUUUCCUAUGUGAUCACACAUCGUCUGAUGGACGUCUCGCUGUACCACUCUCCUCUGGCAAAGUGUAAAGUGCAGUUUCUCACAUGACACUGGAUGUCGUCUCUGAUGGUGUUAAAGAUUAAUAGCGCCGCAUAGUCAUUGUUUUUUAAAGCCACCUGUUUUCUGAACAUCAGUUCUCAACCUCAAGUUAAACUCUGUGGUCAGUAAAGCCUGGAGAGGACACUUUUAUUGGGGGGGGGGAGAAGGCUUGUUUUUGGUCUUUACAAAUUAUUUUUUACUUAAACUACUCAAAUUCAAAUACAAUAAUAAGGGGACAAAAGCAAGUUCAUAAAUGCAUAGAAUGAAAGAUAUCUACAAAAUAAGUGAUAUUUAUAUUAUGUGCAGUCAAAAAAUCCCAAACAAUAAUUCUUAUACACACUAGCGUUCAUACCUCAGUUUUAUGUUUGGUGACCAAGUUGUUUUUUAAGUAUUUGUGGCCACAGACCUUUUUUUGUUUCAUUUCUGAAUUGUCAAAAUAAAAAAUUAAUGAAUGUGA